rnacentral:rRNA from 1 species
CCUACGGGUGGCAGCAGUGGGGAAUAUUGGACAAUGGGGGCAACCCUGAUCCAGCCAUGCCGCGUGUGUGAAGAAGGCCCUCGGGUUGUAAAGCACUUUCAGUGAGGAAGAACGCCUGGUGGUUAAUACCCAUCAGGAAAGACAUCACUCACAGAAGAAGCACCGGCUAACUCCGUGCCAGCAGCAGCGGUAAUACGGAGGGUGCGAGCGUUAAUCGGAAUUACUGGGCGUAAAGCGCGCGUAGGUGGCUUGAUAAGCCGGUUGUGAAAGCCCCGGGCUCAACCUGGGAACGGCAUCCGGAACUGUCAAGCUAGAGUGCAGGAGAGGAAGGUAGAAUUCCCGGUGUAGCGGUGAAAUGCGUAGAGAUCGGGAGGAAUACCAGUGGCGAAGGCGGCCUUCUGGACUGACACUGACACUGAGGUGCGAAAGCGUGGGUAGCAAACAGGAUUAGAUACCCCGGUAGUC